ensembl:lncRNA
CUCGGUGAUCAGAGUUUCAGAAGUGCUCUGGCAAUUGGUGGGUGAGGAGAGCAAGAGAGAACAGUAAAUGAUGGUGAGACAGCUGGCAAAAAGGGGAAGGGAUGAAGAAUUAGAAUGGGAUAGAAUGGGGAGCAGGGUAGAGGGUCAGACCUGAGCAGGAAAUAAGUGAUGGAGAGGAGAGGGGAUUGUCCCCAGCGUGGAAUUCAAAGCCAGCAAGGACUCUCUAAUAUGCUGACCACUGAUCCCAUUCCCACUUUACAUGAGAGGCUUGUGACACCCACCCACUAAGCCCACUGAGUCAGAAGCUGUUGCAGCACAAAGGAAGUGACUCCUGACUCAGUGGGCUUAGUGGAUAGGUGUCACAAAACAGAAGGGCAAGAAGGAAUUGAGGAAACCCAUCAACUAGUAUGGGGAGAGAAAGAGAGCCCCUGCUGCCCAAAUCUCCCAGUCCUCUGCCCACCUGCCUCUCUUCACCUCCCUGAGUACCACUGCCACCACCGAGUCCCCUUCCUUCCCAGCUCCCCCUCUCUUCACAGACCCACCCUGAGCCAUGAGUCCCCAACACCACACUGACCUUCAAACACAACUUUGGCCUUCAAUGCUGAGAAGCCUUGAGCCAUCUGUGAGCGUAGGUAACCAACACCAGGAGUUUUCCUGGCACCCGAAAGCAAUAUGGAGUCAAAGCAUGCAGCAUGGAGCAGGCAUUCUCACACAGUGUGGGCUGGGGCUGAGCCACCGUUCCAGACAGGGACAAGUUGUGGGUCACCUCUGAAUCAGCUGCCUUGUGGAUACAGAUUGCAGGAAAGAUGCAUUUUUUAUCCACGGUCAUUUGCUUGUCUAGAACAAGCCUUUGAUGUGUUCAGAAGCUGUUCUAUCGCUGACCUGGCACAAAAUUCAGGGGCCAAAAUGACGCCUGUAGUCUUUAAAACAGAAUGAAUUCUCCAGGCAUUCCCAAAACAUACCCAACAAACCAACCCAAGCCAGGUGAGUCGGCUGUGCUCACAGCAAAAGCAACUCGGUGCAGAGGAAACAGCCCUGCUUUGCUUUUCCAGGAGAAUAUCUGCAUCUGAAAGAAAAUAAUUUAUUGGGAAAUAUGUACAGUAGAGUAAAAUUGCAAAAUAAGAUAUUCAAUGGGGAUUCUAUAUAAAACUAUGCCCUUUGCCUCCAGCAGGUGAUGAAUAAAAAUGAUAUAAAGAAGCAAUGAACGUUCAAUGUUUUAUAUUUAAAAUACGUUUUGUGAGGAAAACAAUGUGGCAUAGAAACAGGACUGAAAGGUUCUCCAAGAUAAUGCCAGCGACUGCAAGAUGUCAGCAGCAUUGCCAUCCAUUCUCUCUCUCCAAAGGAAAGAGGAGUCAGAAGUAACAGCAAUAUAAGCACAUGAAAAAAUCUGUUGUAAAUGGUGACCUCCUGGUGGAUGGACGUACAGCCCAGGCGGGACUGAGCUGUGAGAGAGGA